CCCUGGCUGGCUCAGUUGGUAGAGCACGUGACUCCUAAUCUCAAGGUUGUGAGUUCAAGCUCCACGUUGGGCG
rnacentral:tRNA from 1 species